rnacentral:rRNA from 1 species
UACAGAGGUGGCAAGCGUUGUUCGGAAUUACUGGGCGUAAAGGGCGCGUAGGCGGUCAGCACAAGUCAGUUGUGAAAUCUCCGGGCUUAACUCGGAAAGGUCAACUGAUACUGUGCGACUAGAGUGCAGAAGGGGCAACUGGAAUUCUCGGUGUAGCGGUGAAAUGCGUAGAUAUCGGGAGGAACACCUGUGGCGAAGGCGGCCCCCUGGUUGGAUACUGACGCUGAGACGCGAAAGCGUGGGGAGCAAACAGG